rnacentral:rRNA from 1 species
CGGGACGGGUGAGUAAUGUCUGGGAAACUGCCUGAUGGAGGGGGAUAACUACUGGAAACGGUAGCUAAUACCGCAUAACGUCGCAAGACCAAAGAGGGGGGCCUUCGGGCCUCUUGCCAUCGGAUGUGCCCAGAUGGGAUUAGCUAGUAGGUGGGGUAACGGCUCACCUAGGCGACGAUCCCUAGCUGGUCUGAGAGGAUGACCAGCCACACUGGAACUGAGACACGGUCCAG